rnacentral:rRNA from 1 species
UCAGGUUGAUUCUGCCUGACGUGGACGCUAGUCUCACAGAUUUAGCCAUGCAUGUGUAAGCGAACAAUUAGGGAGCUGCGGACUGCUCAGUAACAGGCGAUUAAUUUAAUCUUUACAAACGGACAAACUCAGGAAACGGAGUGUAAUACGUAAAAGAUGAUUUUUUAUUUAAAAAAAGAAAACAUUUUUAGCUUGAAUAAAGCGGUAAAGAAUAAGACGCCAACCCAUCAGUUAGUAAGUAGGGUAAGGGCCUAUUUAGACGAAUACGGGUACGGGGAAUUAGGGUUUGAUUCCGGAGAGGGAGCCUGAGAGACGGCUACCAGGUCCAAGGACGGCAGCAGGCGCGAAAAUUACCGAAGCUCAAAUAGAGGCGGUAGUAAUGAGACGUAUAAAUAAUAAUAUAAGGGUAAAAAACUUAUUAAUAACUGGAGGUCAAGUCUGGUGCCAGCAUCCGCGGUAAUUCCAGCUCCAGGGGUGUCUAUGAUGAUUGCUGCGAUUAAAAAGUCCGUAGUCGAGCUGACUGACUGACCUGCAAUGUGAUUGAUUAAAGAACGAGCAGGGUUAGGAAAGCAGAGGAUUAGGAGCGACCGAGGGCUAGAGUAUUGAAUGGCGAGAGGUGAAAUUUGAUGACCCAUUCAGGAGUGACAAAGGCGAAGGCACUAGUCAAGGGCGAAUCCGAUGAUCAAGGACGUAGGCUGGAGUAUCGAACACGAUUAGAUACCGUAGUAGUUCCAGCAGUAAACUAUGCCUACGCCAAUAAAUAAAAGUUUAAUGGACGAGAAAUCUAGAGUAGGGCUUUGGGGAGAGUACACGCGCAAGCGAUAAAUUUAAAGGAAAUUGACGGAGGAACACCACAAGGAGUGGAGUGUGCGGCUUAAUUUGACUCAACGCGGGACAGCUUACCAAACCCGAAAACUAAAAGAGUGAAUACACGAUAAGUUUAAGAGUGGUGCAUGGCCGUUAUCGACGAGUGAAGUGAUUUUAUGGUUAAAUCCGACAAGUCGUGAGACCCUAUAAAUAAUUAAUAAAACAGGUAUGAAAAUACAGGAAGGAUAGGACAAGAACAGGUCAGUGAUGCCCUUAGAUGGUUUGGGCUGCACGCGCACUACAGUGGUCAUUAUAAGUAGAAGUUAGAUAUAAAGAUGAUCGAGAGGGACUGAGCUUUGUAAGAGGCUCACGAACGAGGAAUUGCUAGUAAUCGUAGGCUCAUUAAGAUACGAUGAAUAUGUCCCUGUUCUUUGUACACACCGCCCGUCGUUAUCGAAGAUGGAGUUUUGCCCGAACGAGCUUUAGCGAGUAAGUGUAUGAUUCUAGAUCUGAUACAAGUCGUAACAAGGCAGCUGUAGGAGAACCUGUAGCUG